rnacentral:sRNA from 1 species
AGCUGUGCAGUAGUGUUCACAACAAAUCAAAACCUGUUACAGAUUUCUUUGUGCUGUCUGUACUCCCACUGCUUCAUUUGAUUAAU